rnacentral:rRNA from 1 species
AGAGCGAACGCUGGCGGCAGGCCUAAUACAUGCAAGCCGAACGGUGAAGCCCUUCGGGGUGGAUCAGUGGCGAACGGGUGAGUAACACGUGGGCAAUCUGCCCUGCAUUCUGGGACAAGCCUUGGAAACGAGGUCUAAUACCGGAUACGACGCAUCUCCGCAUGGGGUGUGCGUGGAAAGCUCCGGCGAUGCAGGAUGAGCCCGCGGCCUAUCAGCUUGUUGGUGGGGUAACGGCCUACCAAGGCGACGACGGGUA